rnacentral:lncRNA from 1 species
CACUCGCCAAAAAGGUUCACAUCGUGGCUCACGGCUAAUAUUUUACGAUAUCAAUAUGUAGAAAACCCGAUAAUCUAUACUUCUGUGCGUCUUUUGCUUUUAAUAUAACUCAAUGCAUAUCAGAAAAGAGAAAACUCUGCAUGUCAACAGUGUAUGUUCUUCGUAAACAAAAAUAAUUUCCUUACAAAAACACUGCUCCAACAUAUAGCUAGAAGAACGAGUAAAAUCAACACUAUGUAAAUUCAAGGCCUUCUCUGAGAAUUGGUUCAACAAUAUAAUGUGUCUUUAUCUCGACUCAUAGGUGACAUAUUAUUUGCGGUGUUAUAUAUUUGAAACCCCAUAUCUGUGCCUUUUACAAUUAACUGUACGGUAUUGGUUAUUUACAUAAUUGAAGGCCGCUCUCUUGUUGUUAAUUGCUUACAUCCACUUCAUUUGAACUUUAGUUGUUAGUUGUCUCAUUUUCAAUCAAACCACUUCUUUUUAUUUUUAUAGUUUAUUAGAUGAUACCUUGUUUUAUAUUUAAUCUUAAUUCACUUUAUUUAAAAACAGAGCGAGUACAUUUGAAAAGACAAAACUAUAUUUAUAAAAAUAUACAUGUGUGGACCGCUAUGGUCGUUCAAAUCGUUAUUAUCACGCUGAAUGACGAUAGUUUGACGCUGAAAUACGAUUGUAUGACGCUGAUAUCCUAUUGUGUGACGCUUGAGUAAGUGUUUGACGCUUAAGGACGAUUGUUUGACGCUGAAGUUAGAUUAUUUGACGCUAAAAUGCGAUUGUAUGAUGCUGAUGUACUGUUGUGUGACGCUUAAGUAAGAGUGGAUGACGCUAAAGGACGAUUUUUUUACGCUGAAGAACGAUUGUUUGACGCUGAAAUAUGAUUGUGUGACACUGAAGUACCAUUGUAAUGCCAUCUUAAUAAACAAC